rnacentral:rRNA from 1 species
GUAGGUCUGUCCUGCCCAGUGAUAAUAAUUCAACGGCCGCGGUACCUUGACCGUGCAAAGGUAGCAUAAUCAUUUGCCUUUUAAUUAAAGGCUAGUAUGAAUGGAUCCACAAGAAUAAAACUGUCUCAUUUCUAAAAUAAAUAUAAACUGAUAUCUAAAUGAAGAAGUUUAGAUACUAAUAAAGGACAAGAAGACCCUAUAGAGCUUUAUUAUUAUUUAGACAUACUAAUAUAAUAAAUUGAUUGGGACAAUCUUAAGACAUAUAAACCUCUUAUAAUUUAAAUAUACUACACCCUAACUUGUAAAUGAAUAAGCUACCUUAGGGAUAACAGGCUAAUCUUACUAAAGAGAUCACAUUGACAGUAAGGAUUGGCACCUCGAUGUUGGCUUAGUGUAACUAUAGGGUGCAGCCGCCUUAUUAAGUUGGUUUGUUCAACCAUUAAAUCACUACAUGAG